AUUAGACAAAACUCUAACUAAUGAAUGUAGGUCUGGCGUUCCGGUAUACAUUCGAAGGUUUGGCGUUUGGAUAUCCAUUCGUGUUCGGAUCAAGUAUUUUGAUUUUUUUAAAUUUUCAGGUUUACAUUUAUAAAUUUCAUUCUAAUAUUUUAUUAGUAUGGAUCCGUUUCGGAUAAUAACACUUUGGGUUAUGUCCAAAUUUUUAUUGCAUCCUAAAAUCAAUAAAAUAACCAUAUAUAGUUCAAAUUCGGGUUAUAUCAGUUCGAUUUAGAUAUAUUCGAAAUAAAAAAAAAAACAAAAUUUAAAGCAAAACAUAAAGAAAAACGCUUAAUUUGAAUAUAAAUUAAUCCAAC
rnacentral:lncRNA from 1 species